rnacentral:rRNA from 1 species
GCGCAUCUGUGCAUGCAGCAUAUCAAUAAGCGGAGGAAAAGAAACUAACAAGGAUUCCCCUAGUAACGGCGAGUGAAGCGGGAAGAGCUCAAAUUUGAAAUCUUAAAGGGUUUCCCUUUACGAAUUGUAGUUUAAAGAAGUGUUUUCUGUUGAGGUUUUGGUAAAAGUUCUUUGGAAUAGGACAUCAUAGAGGGUGAGAAUCCCGUAUUUGACCUUUACUUUCAACUUUGUGAUACACUUUCAAAGAGUCGGAUUGUUUGGGAAUGCAGUCCAAAAUGGGUGGUAGAUUUCAUCUAAAGCUAAAUAUUGGCGAGAGACCGAUAGCGAACAAGUACCGUGAGGGAAAGAUGAAAAGAACUUUGAAAAGAGAGUUAAACAGUACGUGAAAUUGUCAAAAGGGAAGCGUUUGACACCAGUGUUGUUUUUCUGAAAAUCAAUUAAAGAACUGUUUAUGCUAAGUUGUUUAGACUUUAUCAGCUAACUGUUUAGUUUUGAGCUUUUCUUAAUGCACUUUUCAGUUAACAAGUCAACAUCAAUUUCUUUUGCUGUAAAAAAGCUUGAGGAAGGUGGCUUGAGAUUCGUCUUAAGUGUUUAUAGCCUCUUGCCUAUGCAGUCGGAGAGAUUGAGGUCUGCAGCGUAGAUCCUUCGGGGCUAAAUGCAUUUGUGCUAAGUUAUAGCAUUUUAUAGACAACUUGUUGACUAUGAUUUGUCUUGUAGCUUACUCGCUUAUGUUAUUUUACCUACGCUUAGGAUGUUGACUGAUAUGUAGUCGUA